AUGACCGUGGUCAUUGUAACCUGCCAUAAUACCAGAAUCUGGGAACAGCAAUCCUUUUUUUUUUUUUUUUUGAAAGUCACAGAUCAGGUCUAUUUCACAGAAACUACAUCUGCUGUGAAGAAGGGGGGGCAGCUGGAAAAAACAGAGCACCCACCGUCUUUUCUGGGUAGGUGUUUCGCAACCAGCCAUCCAGUACAGAGCGGAACAACAACUCUCCAUUUUCCCGCCUUUCCCCAAGUUGUACAAAUAACAUAACAAUCCGACAUCUGCUUACACUCGCCUGGGCCAGAGGAGAGUCGAGUGAGGGGACAGAACCCACGCGCACCUAUAUUCAAGAGGUGCUUCCUGAGAGAAAGCGUUCGGAUCGUCCGUUUACAGGUCUUGGUCGCUCCCAGAGCAGAGAGCCCUUGUAAUGUCAGGAAAAGAAGGCACAGGAAAGUGUCGAGGGACUGGUAUAACAUGAAACAGAAAACUAGGACAUGGUGUGACAGAGGACGGGGCCCUCUUCUCCCACUGCAGCCUGUCGUGAACUUGAGCGUUACUGGAACAGGGGCGUGCUAUCCCAGCUGCACAAAUGUUACUGCCCGGGCGAUGCGGGCUUUUUCUCGUCCUUUUCAUUGUUUUCCCAGACUGCACCACCGUGAGCCACAGUCCUUGUCCUUGCCCAAAAUUUCAAGGAACCAAAUGAGGUUUUCAUAGAGAUGACGCCCGUCAGAGGCUGUUUAGAAACUGGAAAUGAAACCAAAGGUAUACAUCUCUAGAUAGUUGAAUUCUUACAAAGGGCAGGGCUUUGUUUUAUGGAAAAGACUAGGUAUUUGCCUUUAAUUUCGGGUUUAUGCAACAUUUUGUUUCAGACGUCUUUCCUUGAAAUAUAUGCAGACUUCAGCAAAAUGGACACAGCCUAGCUUUUAGAAGAACUUCCUUCCUUAAAUUGAACUUUUGCCUACGUGGUCCUGUUGUGGUUGUUGUUUUUCAGAUUUAUUUAAAUAGAGGCAAUAAUUACUUGUAUUCAAACAGUGAUCUGCGGGGCAGAAGAUCUUUUUUACUCCGAAAAGGCAACCUUAGUUUGGUAAAGUGAUCGGACACCCGGGAAAAACAAUCACC
rnacentral:lncRNA from 1 species